GACGGAGGGGGCAAGCGUUGUUCGGAAUUAUUGGGCGUAAAGGGCUCGUAGGCUGGCGUGUAAGUCUGACGUGAAAUCUCCACCGCUCACCGGGGAGAGGCCGCUGGAUACUGCACGUCUGGAGUUCGGCAGAGGACCAUGGAAUUUCGGGUGUAGCGGUGGAAUGCGUAGAGAUCGGCAGGAACACCCAGGGGGAAACCAGUCGACUGGGCAGCACCUGACGCUGAGGUGCGAGAGCGUGGGGAGCGAACCGG
rnacentral:rRNA from 1 species